CAUGUUCAUUGGGUUGCAGAUAGAACUGAGAUGAUAUUUCAAUCCUGGUGAAGAGAGGUUCUACUUCAGGAUCUCAGUGCCAGCUCAGGAAAACCUUCCCAACAAACUUCUCAUACACAGACGCAGUUUGACUACAGUUAAUAAGGAAACUGGUCACAAGGAAUAUUACUGAGCAUCAUGUGUCCAACAGAUGUUAAAAAGAAGAAUAUCCACAACUACAAAACAAUAACGGAAAGGCUAUUCAUCAUGAUGCUUUCUGGUUUUUCUGUUUUGCAUAACGCAAGAGAUGCAGAAUUAUAAGAGACCCAGGAGCUGAUGAUUUAUGAGCGUGUGUCUCUUGUAAUGUACUGGAGACAAUUAUUCAAGUCUGAGUUCAUUUAUAAGGAGUGUUGCAUCAUACACUUUACAGUGAUGCAAACAGAAGAAAAACAAAACAAAAAAAAAAGUUGGGCUUAUUUUACAAAUGUAUGCGUGUUGCUUCAGGUUAUACUUCAGUACUACAGUGAUUUUCUAUGAAUUGCACAUCCAGGCUGUGAAUCUCUCCGACCAUCUAGCAUUCAAAACAUUUUGCUUUGGGUUUAAUGACAGUCAGAAUAUAGAACAACCUACUUGGGAACCAUACCCACAAGUGGUUAGUACUUACCCAAAGUGGUUGGUAGAUACCAGAAAUGGUUGGUACAUAGCAAAAGUGGUUAGUAUCUACUGCACCAGAAGUGGUUAGUAGAUACUAGAAGUGGUUGAUUGAUACCAGAAAUGGCUAGUUUCUCCCAAAAGCAGUUAGUAUCUACACAAAAAUGGUUAGUACCUACCAAAGGUUGUUGGUAGAUACCAGAAAUGGUUAGUGCCCACAGAAAUUGGAUAGUAUCUACCAAAAAGUCAGUUGGUAUCUACCAAAAGUUGAUAGUACCUACCAGAAGUGAUUAGUACCUACCAGAAGUUGUUACAUAGCAAAUUUGCAGCUCUGACUGUACUACCAGAUAUAAUUCAUAUCACAUCUUUUUCAAUCAGAAGCAUUGAAAAGUUUAGGCAAAACUGUCAAUGUAAAGUUCUUCCAUAUGGACAAAUCUUCAGGAAAGAGGAUGUACAGUAAAUUUUGAUGUCUUGUUAACCAAAGAAAAAAAACACUACAGAAUUUGCUCUUAUUGAAAAAUAAUCAACUUCAGGGUGGUAAGUGAGUCACAGCGAAAGCCUCGUCAAUGAUCGUUUUCCCCAUAACACCAUACCAGGCCAUGUUUUCAUCCGUCAUUAUUUUAGAAAGCUCGAUUAUUUGCUGUUGCUGUUGGAAUCCUUUGCACGUUAACUGCCGGAUUGUUUACAGUCCGAGGACAUAAAGGUCACGGCGGCAACGGCCGCCCACCCGCCGAGUUCAGCACUGUUCUUUCACCAUCGACCGGAGAAAGGAAUAACAAACACGUCUUUGAGAUUUAUUAUUCUGAGCAGAUACAUGACGAACUUCUUCAGGACGGAUGCAAGAAUUAAACCAUUAUAAUUAUAAAACACAGAAUGACUUGCACUACAGUCGGGACUGCAAAUUUUGCUUUAAUAUACUUCCAAUUAGAAAUCUGAACACAUAUUUACAGCUAAAGCAACACUAUGAUUAAGUGUAAUGUAACCACUUUUUGGAGAGCAUUUUAGUCAGAAAAAAACACAAGCUAAGCCAAACCUAAUCUAGCUAACUCAAUCUGAAAAUUCCCUUAGCAGUCUGUGUGAGAGAAAGGGAUUAGGACCAAGCCAUUCGAUCAACUUUAUCUUGUGUAUCAGUGAAAUCAUGGCACAACAACGAAUGCAGCGUAAUAAACUCACUAGACGUAACAGGAUAUUCAUGCUAGUUAGGACUCCCUCAACUCUCAAAGCAACCUCAGUUCUUCAUAGCAUGAAAUUUCCGAAACAUCUCUCUGAGAUUCGGGUUCAUAUUGAUAUGCAAAUUUCUGCAGUUUCACACCAAGGUUGUGAAUCUCUCCUAGCAACUUCUACCUGUUUGGUACCUUUAACCAAAAGUGGUUAGAACUUACCAGAAGUGGUACCUGCCAGAAGUGGUUUGUAUCUAUCAGAUGUUAUGCAUAACUAACAUGGUUAAUACCCAUUAACCCAUUAAGUUUGGUGCCAAAAGUACAGUAAUUAUUCAUCUAUCCAAUGUGUUACCUGUCAAAAGGGUUAGUAUUUACAAAUUAGUGGUACCAGUGGUUAGUACCUACCAGAAAGUGGUGCAUGUCAAAGUGAUUAGUGCCUACCAGAAGUGGUACCUGCCAAAAUGAUUAGUUCCUGGCAAAGUGGUUUGUAUUUACCAGAUGUGGUACCUGAAAAAGUGGUACAUACCUACUAAAAGUUGUACAUACCAAAAUUGGUAAAUACCCAUCAAUGUGUGAUGCCAAAAGUACCUAUCCAGAAUGGUACCUACCAAAAGUGGUGCAUGUCAAGGUAAAAGUACCUACCAGAAGUGGUACCUGCCAAAAUUUGUUAAUUCCCAUCAACGCCAAAAGUACCUCUCAGGAUUAGUACCUACUAAGGCUCAUGCAUACCAGUGAAACUAUUUGUCUAUUUUUUUUUCUGUAUGCACUUUACAAAGUACAACUAUUUGCAGUUUCAACCCAAAUAUUGGUUUGACCUAAAAAUACAUAUCUGCCCAAAGGGAAUUAACGUUUAGUAUUCUGUGCAAUGCAUUCCACAUUACGAGAUUACUCUUUUUUUCCCAAUUUGAUUCUGCUUGCUUCAGGACCUCAAGACUGAACGAAACAUGAAAACUCAGCAACAGUGAAGCCCAGCAGAGCACUUUUCACACAUCCCAGGCUUGUCUUGAAGUGUCGUAUUAGCAGUCUGCUUAUAGCAGAUCGAUUGAAAUAGCAUGGUCUUCUUGUCAUUUUUGUUUUAAAUCUGUCAUUAUAUGAGGUUCGAGGUGCCAAUUCCUCAAGCCUAUAUUUGCAUCUCACCAUCUCAUGGUGCUGAGAGGAAUGAGUGGGAGGCAGAAUGAUGUUACUCUACACCCGAGCACAGUGGGGGUCCUGGAUAUGUGCAACGAUACACUGAGAAUAGUGAUAAACUUUUGGCAUUUCCUCAAUGAUGAAAAGAAACGCUCAAUCAUCUGGUAGUGGAUCAUCAAAACGGGAUAUUUCCUCUCGAGUCUUGCAGAUGAUGUUUUUUCUACCUCAGCCGCCUCUCUUCUGAAGGCUUAAUGCCAGCCGGGGCUGCUGGGAUGGCAGCCACAGACCACCAAGAAGAACAGAGCAAUUUCACAGAGGGAAGCGAAGGAAGCACAGGACAAGGUUUAGACUACAAAACCUCCCAGUGCAAGCUUUGGUCUACAUCCAGAAGCCCUUGAUUGGCUGUUUACAGCCUCUAAAAUGGUGAGAUCAUAACGUUCUUUAUAGGGUAAGUUCUGUUUCACUUGUAGUUUCACAGGGUUCAGAUUAUCAUACUAAUACUAGAGGAUGAAAGACUUGCCAAAGCAUCCAAACAUUCUUUGCCCCUAAAGGACAGAAGGUUAAGGGCCUUGCUCAAGGGCCCCAAGCGUGGCAGCGUGGCCAUACUGGGGCUUAAACCCCCGACCUUCCGAUCAAACCCAGAGCCUUAACCACUGAGCCAAAACCGCAGAUAUUACAUAUAAAGUGUAACACCAGGAAGGCGAGGAAGCCCGAUGUGACUGCGGAGUCAAUUUCACAACUGCCAUUGAUAUAGAAACACUAAGGUUCACUUUAUAGGUUAUUUUAUGAAGCUUGCAGCAUCGAUAUCCUCCAAAUGGGAUUAAAAGUUCUUGCUAUGCCGGAUGUGUUUCCGCCACAAGCACUUCAUUUAACACACUACCUGGGUGGCCAGAUAUUACAUUUUCA